rnacentral:lncRNA from 1 species
AGAGGCAGCAAAACCUUGGGUUUUGUUGGGAACAUCAUCUCUCACUACUUUGAUCUCUUGGCCAUAUGACAGACUAAUCAUUAGUGUCGCAUUUAUUCUUCCAGUGGUCAGAUGGGGUGCUCACAUGCUGCAGGUUCCUUACAUGUGCUUGUUUCCUUCCCUAAACUGAAGGUGCCUUUGAAGGCAGUCUUUUUCUACAUCCAUCAAGUUCUCUGGGGAAGAGCACUUCUUAGCUAUUCCAUCAACACUCUUGCCAGUCUAAUCUCACCAUCAGUUUCCCGUGGCCUGCCCUUUGUCUGAAACUUUGAAGGUCUUAUCGAAUGUUACUUAGCCUCCAACAGUAUUCG